UCCAGAGACAAGGAGAUGGUGAAAGAAGGU
rnacentral:piRNA from 2 species